rnacentral:rRNA from 1 species
GUGGGGAAUAUUGGGCAAUGGGCGGAAGCCUGACCCAGCGACGCCGCGUGGGGGAAGAAGUCUUUCGGGACGUAAACCCAUGUUGUACGGGACGAAGGAAGUGACGGUACCGUACGAGGAAGCCCCGGCAAACUACGUGCCAGCAGCCGCGGUAAUACGUAGGGGGCGAGCGUUGUCCGGAAUCACUGGGCGUAAAGCGCACGUAGGCGGGCUGUUAAGUCGGCCGUGAAAGGCACGGGCUCAACCGGUGAAUGUCGGUCGAUACUGGCGGUCUGGAGUAUGGGAGAGGGAACUGGAAUUCCCGGUGUAGCGGUGAAAUGCGUAGAUAGCGGGAGGAACACCAGUGGCGAAGGCGGGUUCCUGGCCCAUUACUGACGCUGAGGUGCGAAAGCCAGGGGAGCGAACGGGAUUAGAUACCCGUGUAGUCC